ensembl:lncRNA
GUGAGUGAGGCCUAUCUGGGAGGUGAAAGGAAGACCAAUUGGGAUGGGGACUACACUCUGAUGAGAGGUGCUGCGGGGUGCGCAGUGAGGUUGUGGCCUCCCUCCCCCAUGUGCCCUCUAGGAUCUGGGAACCUGCUCUCCUGAUUGGAACCAGAUGGGUCUUCUGUGGCCGGAAGCCUGUCUUAGAAGUCCACUCACUCAAUGUCCUCCCCUAGGAGGGGUGGGGGGCAUAGACUAAGGGGAAGUGGAAGUAUGGCGGGGUCCUCUUCACUGGGGCUGGGAGAGAGGGUCUUUUCCCUUCUCUCUACUCUCCAGGCUAGUGGCCUGGAAACUUUUCUAUUAGUCCAGGGAGGGUGGUGGUGGGGUGGUGGUCAGCGGAGUACAAGUCUCUCACUGAGGUUUGGCGGGCCGUCUUUGACCUUAUGACAGCCUCCUCUGGGAGCAGCACCUCCUCCCCAUCCCUGAAGUGAAGCUCAGCUGCAGAUUGCCUAGGAGGGGAUGACAGCGCAUGUCCUUUGUCUCCUGGAGUGGCCUCAAGGUCAUUCCCUUCACCCCUGGCCUCCUUGGCCUUGGUAGGCAGAGAGGUUCCUGCACUGGGGUUGGAGUGGAAGGGCCAGGCUGAGACCCAGGGUUCCCGUCAUUGCAGGUCUGGCAGCUACCCUGCUGCAGAUGGCUGCCCUGCCAGCCUGGCGGCCAGCACAAAUGCGUUACAGCUGUACCUCUACUGGCUUGCUCCUGAGAGUCUAGAGACAGAGGCGGGGAGCCUGGGGGACUCAGAGGGCACACAUGGAGAGCCAGAGUGGGUAGGGGACAGGCCAAGACAGCUGCCAAGCAAACCCAGGUUGCUGAGAGAGUGGGGACAAGGAAAUCUGAAGCUUUGGAGAAAGCUUCCCCAACACACACACAUUGGAGUGGGGGCUUCCUGAGGAAGCAUGGCACUCGGGGUGGGGUACUGCCUGGCAACCAUGGCUCAGGUCCUUGCCUCCCUUUCUGGUCCUGAUCUCUGAGCAGAGUCAGAAGCUUCUAAGUUGGAGCAGCAGGGAGGGGAGCCCAGCCUCGUCACCACCCAGGGGAAAUUGGACCAGACUGCUCAGGAAAUAAAUUCAAUUUUCCAGUAUCGUGGAAGGCCUGCUCCAAGCCAAACUCCACUUGCACCCCUUGGCAAGAUUAGACUGGGGAGAGGUGAAGAGCUGAGAUGCCUUCCAGGAAGCAGAGUUACAAAACAAGCCCCCGGCUGGCUCCAAGGGCACAGAAUCGGGGAGGAGAAAGUCUGCUUUGCUGGGGCUGAAGGCCCCAGCCUAGCCAGGACUGGGGGGAUUUUUGGGGGUGAGGAACAUGGCUGGGGAAAGGUUCUGUAGGGAGGGGUGUUAUGGAUUGAAUUUUGGCCCCCCAAAUUCGCAUGUUGAAGCCCUGACUCUUAGUGUGACUGUAUUUGGAGAUAGGACUUUAGGAGGUAAUCAGGGUUAACUGAGGUCCUAAGGGUGGGGUCCUAAUCCCGUAGAGCUGGUGGCUUUAUAAGAAGAGAAGAGAGAGAUCUUCUCUACAACUAUGCACUGAGGCCACGUGAACAGGCAGUGGGAAGGUG